UACGGAGGGUGCAAGCGUUAUCCGGAUUCACUGGGUUUAAAGGGUGUGUAGGCGGAUUUUUAAGUCAGUGGUGAAAUCUCCGGGCUCAACCCGGAAACUGCCAUUGAUACUAUUAGUCUUGAAUUCUGUUGAGGUGGGCGGAAUACAUCAUGUAGCGGUGAAAUGCUUAGAUAUGAUGUAGAACACCGAUUGGCGAAGGCAGCUCACUAAGCAGACAUUGACGCUGAGGCACGAAAGCGUGGGGAUCAAACAGG
rnacentral:rRNA from 1 species